rnacentral:rRNA from 1 species
UACGAAGGGGGCUAGCGUUGCUCGGAAUCACUGGGCGUAAAGGGUGCGUAGGCGGCCUGUUAAGUCGAACGUGAAAUCCCCGGGCUCAACCCGGGAACUGCGUCCGAUACUGGCAGGCUUGAAUCCGGGAGAGGGAUGCGGAAUUCCAGGUGUAGCGGUGAAAUGCGUAGAUAUCUGGAGGAACACCGGUGGCGAAGGCGGCAUCCUGGACCGGCAUUGACGCUGAGGCGCGAAAGCCAGGGGAGCAAACGGG